rnacentral:rRNA from 1 species
AUUGCACAAUGGGGAAAACCCUGAUGCAGCGACGCCGCGUGAAGGAAGAAGUAUCUCGGUAUGUAAACUUCUAUCAGCAGGGAAGAUAGUGACGGUACCUGACUAAGAAGCCCCGGCUAACUACGUGCCAGCAGCCGCGGUAAUA